rnacentral:rRNA from 1 species
GACGAACGCUGGCGGCGUGCUUAACACAUGCAAGUCGAACGGACAGGCCCUGCUGUUGUGGGUUUCUCGAGUGGCGAACGAGUGAGUAACACGUGAGUAACCUGUCCCUGUCUUUGGGAUAACUUCAGGAAACUGGGGCUACUACCGGAUAGGAGCUCCUGCUGCACGUGGGUCGUUGGAAAGUUUCGGCGGUUGGGGAUGUUCUCGCGGCUUAUCAGCUUGUUGGUGGGGUUGUGGAUUACCACGGCUUUGACGGGUAGCCGGCCUGGGAGGGUGACCGGCUACAUUGGGACUGAGGUACGGACCAGUAUGCUACGGUAGGCAGCAGUGGGGAAUAUUGCGCAAUGAGCGGAAGCCUGUUGCAGCAGCGCCGCGUGCGGAAUAACGGGCUUCGUGUUGUAAACCGAUUUCGCCUGUGACAAAGCGUGAGUGACGGUAAUGGGUAAAGAAGCACCGGCUAACUACGUG